CAUCUGCAGCUCCUACUAUCUCAGUUUUUGUGUCAGCUGCCACCUUCCCUCAACUGUCUAGAAAACAGAAAUGAGCUGCCACAAAGCUAGAGUGUAAGAGGGGAAAACUUAAUUAAUACACAUUAUUUAAUUUUAGGUCAUUUGGCAAAGACAAGAAAUCUAUUCAGGCUUCGAUCAGAAGAAAUAAAGAAACCAACACUGUAUUAGCCAGGCUCAACAGUGAAUUACAACAGCAGCUAAAGGAUGUGCUCGAGGAGAGAAUUUCUCUCGAGGUCCAGCUGGAGCAGCUUCGGCCGUUUUCACACUUGUAACGGAGCAGCCGAGGUGCUUGGAUGGGACUAAAAAAACCCGUGUUUGAUCUGAACGUGUCAUGGUACCCUCCUCCUGCAGAUAGCUUACACCUGUGUUCAGCUUCGCCAGUCUACAAUGAAGCAAUAGUUUACAUGGUUCCUUUCAUCGAGCUGCACAUUUGACAUAUGGCUCCAGUAUGUUUAAGAGGCGGCGUCUUAUGGUUGGGGGGGUGGGGGUGGGAAGGUGGGCGGGAUGGGUGGUGAUAUAAGAGGGUGUUGUAAAACUGGUGGGCAUUCAAGCCCUGGGUGAGGAGGAUUUUUUUUUGUUGAUUCUACAGAAGAGCAAAUAAUUUCACAACCCCUCCCAGAUCAGUCCAACAUGACAGAACUGGCUUACCGACAGGACAGAAAUCCUAAGCGAGCUGAUGGCUUGUUGAGUACUUGGGAUUUGCAUAUGAAAGGUGGAGUUAUCAGCAACAUUGAUGCACCUAUGCUCAAUUAAUCAGUCUCCUUAACUGUAUGGACAUGUUAAUAUAGAAUUGUGAUUGUGCAAAGACUAGGGAUGGAAGAGCUGUGCUUGAAUGGAAAAUUGUUUCCUGUGUCAGUGUCAAAAUACUUUUCUCCUGAAUCUGCGUAACUUUUUCAUUUUGGAUGAGGAGUUGAGUUUUAUUCUGGUAUAUUGUGAGAGGAAAUGGCUUAUCUUGCCCUUAAAGAUUUAAGGUCACGAAAAAAAAUCCAUUGAUUUCCUACAGUAAAUGAUUUCCCUAUACAUUUAGAACAAGCUCGGAAAUACAUAAUGAAAUAUUUUGCACUACUAAAGUAUGUGUGUGUUCAUGAUUGGUAGGCAUGGUUCAAAACCACUUUUUAAUUGGAGGAUGUGAAAGGUAAUAUAUGCUUGAAGCCUGGGUGAAAGUUUAGGGACAGUCGCUUUUUUUAAAUACAUGUUUGACAGUCACUCACUAAGGACUGUGUUUAUGAUAAAGCGGUCUGUUGAUUAGAUAUGUCGAUAUGGUCGUGGUGAGUUGGCCUUUUUAACUUGAGUGCACUGAACUCACUAAUCAAGCUGCUGUGUAUCCCAGUGGCUUAACUGUUUCAUAGUGUAUGUGAAGCCCGACUGCUGCACAUGCACCCGUUAUUAAGGGAGGUGGGUGUGCAGUGUUUUGUGUUUGGCUUUGCAAUUUCCAUCUAUUUCUGCAUAAUUUAUCCAUCAAAAGAAGCAGGAUCCUGAAUGGCAAGUCUCACCUGUGAGGAGGAGAAAAAUGUGUAAAUACUGUGUCACUUCUCAGCAUUUGUGAAAGGGAGAUCAGCUAGUAUUUGGCAUAAACAAGUUUGGGGUGAGAUGUCUGUGUGGCACCUUAAGUCACAUUAAAAACCACCACUUGAGGGUGAAUCCCUGUGCAGUUUUGCAUGAAAUGUGUGUUAAGCAGAUGCAUCUAUACUCCCCUUGCCCUAUUCUCACUCCAAAAUGAAUUAAAAUAUGUGGGGUUUGUGCAUUAGCAGAGUAUGUGGGGUAAAUUGUAAUGAUUUAGGACAGAAUCUCUUUGUGUGUGUGUGUGUGUGUGUGUGUGUGUAUGUAUGUUGAUGACUUGCAGUUCUGUGGUUUCUCUCAAUACCGCCUCUAUCUGCAUGUUACUGACCGAUUUCCAUUCCACCAACAUAGCCUUCUGAGUACUGAAUACAUACUGUGCACCUCCCUGACACUGGUAAAGUGAUCCUCUUCGAAUUUAAAUGGGAGUUUAAUCAAAAAUUGUACAGAACUAGAGAAUAUUUCUUUAAAUUAUUAUGUGAAAAGCAAGAUUUUAUAAUUGUUUGACUUCAGUGUUCAGUAUUGUAAGGGUUAAUGUGAUUUGCAGUUUCUUUUGUCUGAAUAUAUAUAUAUACACACUCAUCUCUAUUUAAAAAAAGAAAAAAAAAACUUUCUUUGCAUUUGGGAUUGUUUUGUUUUUGUAAUUUCAAACCUUAUUGUUCUAGCUUUGUACUUCAAAAGAGAGAAGGGAUGAACAGGGAGGGAAGGCUUCACAUCCUGGCCUAAUCACAGUCACCUUGUUAUUCAGGUCAAUGUACUGUAUAAGGGGUAUGAUGUAAAUUGUAUAAUACACUUUUGAUCUUGUAUGUAAAUUUCCAUUAAAUUGCUGACUAACAGCAGCUUUAUUUAAUUGCUUUAAUCUAGCUCUGGGAUCUUGGAUGUUAAAGUGCAUGGAUGUAUCUUGGCAGAGCAAACUAGCAACUGUGAUUUUUACACCAAUAAAACAGUACAAUAUUUUACCUGACUGUC